AAGAUUAAGGCACCACAAGCCGAUUAAAAUUGGUGUGUGUGUGUGUGUGUAUAUAUAUAUAUAUAUAUACACACACACACACACACACCAAUUUUAAUCGGCUUGUGGUGCCUU